rnacentral:sRNA from 1 species
UCCGGACCACAUACACACACCCUGCUCUGGGAUCCCUUGUGAGGCUGCCCCCAUGGAGUUCCCCCUGGCCCAGAUAUGUCCCCAAGGGAGUCACGAAGUCCCCAUCCCAACCUUCAGCACCUUCCAGAUCACAGACAUGACCCGCAGGAGCUGCCGGAACCUAGGCUACACUGCGGCAUCUCCCCAGGCCCCGGAGGCUGCCUCCAACCCAGGGAAUGCUGAGAGGGCAGAGGAGGUGCCUGGAGAAGGAAGCCUGUCCCUGCAGGCCGAGACCCGGGCUUGGUUCCAGAAGACCCAGGCCCACUGGCUCCUGCAGCAUGGGGCAGCCCCUGCCUGGUUCCAUGGCUUCAUCACCCGGAGGUGAGUCAUGGAGGAGGGAAUUGGCCCAGACAUGGGCAGGGCAAGUCCUGGGUCUGGGUCCUGCCACCUGCCAGGAAUAGAUGAAGGCUCCCACUUCUACCAGUCUGGAGUAGAUGGAGGCGCCCACUCCAGGCUCCCACUCCCAGAGUUUUCCAAGCCUUUCACUGAGGCAUCUCUCCAGGGGAGAUCAUUGGAGAGGCUCCAGUCCAGCCCUCUGUGUACCUCAGCUUCCCCUCUCUAGGCCCCAUUAUCCUCCUGUCCCUAAGGCCUCAAAUGCUGGUAUUUUCCACCUCUCUCUCCCUCCAGGCUUACUCCAUCUUUAUCUCCCAGCCCUCUCUUCUUCCACCCUUGCAGAUCCUCCCUCCUCCAUUUCUCCCUAUCUCUUUGUUCACCUCCUCAGUUCAGCUUUGACUUCUGAAAUCUGGAAGUCCAACUAUUUUCCCAUCCCUGUUGCUGCAGUAGCAGCCCCUACAGGUUGCCCUUCCAGAAUGAGGCCAGGGGAGGUUGCGGGGGCCUCCUGAUUGGG